AUGUGUCUCAAGGUAUGGUCUCCUAUCUCACAAGCUAAGCGCAGCUCAACUGAGUCAUCCCAAGGAAGGCGUAAUAGCCAAGGAAGAAGCAGGUGUUGCAGAUGGGUGGGUGAUUCAGUGGAUGGUGUUAUUCCUACUGAGUCAAUGCUGAAACAGUUUGUAAGCAGGAAGUUGGGGACACUGUGUGGCUAGAAGAUCUGCUUUCUAAAUGCAGUGACAUUCAAGGAGUCUGAGGUUCUUCAGUACUCUUUCCACAGGCAUCUUUCCCUCCAGUGAAAAAGAGGAAGAAUGACAACAACAUUUAUGAAUCUUGUGAAAGGAGCCACAGACUUUGGUCCACAUGAUGCCUGGGAGGGUGGAAAAUACUUCUACAUAUCUAUGCAACGUCAGGAAUGAAAAGAUUCAGGAAAAGAAAGAGAAGUGUUUACUAUCAGCUUUUACUACAUACAAGUCAGCUAGACUUGACAACUGCUUUUUGAUGUCUUGGCCUAAGAGCACCUUGAACCACUGGAAACUAUCCUGGACAGCAGGAAGAAAGGAAAUAAGAUGAGGAAACCACAAUAGAAGGGCAAAUCUUACCAGAAACAGAAUUAUAUUUCUUGAUUUCCAAAUCUAUCUUAGCCUCAAGCAAGUGAGAAGUUUGUACAGCAGUGAAUAUGAUUAUCCAUGACUGAAGCUACAGGUUUCCUGGACUGGAAGGACUGCUAAAUCUCCAGAUUUUGUCUCAUCAUGUCACUGAAAGUGAUAGUGUACACCUGAGGAAGAUUGCUACACCCAAAUGUUUAUUUUUCUGACUUUAGCAUCUGACCUACUUUUACCUACUGAAGGAGGUACGUGCUGUUCUUAUUCAAAUGUCCUGAGACCAUCUCAGAGAUGGGAGCUCUCCUUUUUUCAGACCUCCUCAGAAUGAAGAUCUGCCUCCCACAGGGCUCAGACCUGGGCUGGAAACAUCACACUCCCCUUCCCUGCGGUGUUUGCACGCCUGGCUGAGAUUCUCAACAGAGACGACCUCUCCCAAUAGAUACAGCAAGCAUGUGCCUUUUUCUGGGAAGAAGAUGCGACAAGCACGUGGAUGUCAUCCAGGUCACAUAAGGGAGAGCUGCUGACCCCUGCUGCAUCACCACCCUGCUGAUGAGAAGUCCUGCAGGAGGCGGGAGUGUGGGGCUGUGGGACCAGUGCUCAGGACUGACUCUGGAUCAGCUGCUGCAUCCAACUGCAAAAUAGAUGCUUGCAGCUCAACCCAGCUCUUCUUCUUGGCAUGUUAAAUUAAAAAAGAAAAAAAAAAAAAGAAAAAAAAAUAGAAAAACACUGAAGUUUUGCUAAAGAAAGCCAAACCUCUCAUCUCAAGGGAUAUAAGAUACGCCUUUAUUAUUAAUUUGUGUAUUUGCCUUGCUGCGGAUGUCUUCUGAAGCUGCAUAGCAGGAAUGUAGCUGGAGGCUUUUUCCAAAUUUGUAUUAUUUGGGGUAGACUGGCUCUGAAAUAAACCUGAAACCUGAGGGGAAUGGGAGGGUGGAGGGUGUGCUUGAGCACUAAUCCCAUGAGUGUGCUUCCCAGAUGCUUGUGCUCUGACUGGCAGCCCAGCAAGCAUGCCCUGUGCUCCCCACAUUGCCACGUAGAGAAGCAGCAUGUGGCUAGCUCCAGGACACGGUGAUAUGGGUCUAUGGGGCUGCUAACUACUUCCUUCACUUUCUGGUUAUUGAUGUCUUCUAACAGGAAAACCAAACUGUGGCAAAGCAAGCAUACAGAGAAAGGCCUUCUGAAAGAGGAGCGAAAUGGGAGCCAGUUCAAGCAUCUGUAAUUAGCUGAUGGCUGGGAGCAUUUAUGAAAUCUCCAGGCAGCGGUGGCAAAGGGCUGGAUUUAGAGAAGUGGCAGCCCUCUUGCUUGAUGUCUUUUAUCCUGGCAAUGUCGACUGCCAUGGUUUGAAUCAUGGAAAGCUCCACCCUCUUUCUGGCCUCUGAUCAAAAUCAGUAUUUUAGAGAGAAAUGCAGAAGAGUAAAGGAGUUAAACAAAAGUUCAGAUAAGCACAGCAAAUACUGGGAAGAUGAGGUCCUCAAAGGGGAGUGCUCUAGAAAGCACCCACAUUAAUCUGGGCAAGGUUCUCAUCAAUUGCUGUGUGCAGAACUAGCUAUUCUUGGACUUGUAAGGAGGUAAGGGAUUUAUUUCCUCAGCUACAUGGAGUCAUGCUGUGAGAUAUCACUAAGUAAGAAUAAUUAGGAUUUGAGCUUUCAACAUACAAGAUUUUUAUCUUUCCCUGUGUUUCAAGUCCUUUCCAAAAAGACCUUUCCUAAGUGGAAGCCUACAUUUCUGUAUCAUUUAACUAUAUAAUCCUUACAUGCAAUCUCUUUAUGUCUAUGCAGUAGUGGCUGCAUUGCUUUCCAUUUCAGCAUCUCUAGAAGGGCUUGGUAAUUAAUACUUUGGUGUGAUAACAGAAUAAAAUACUGAAAAAUAUUUUAAUUUGA